rnacentral:rRNA from 1 species
CCCUGAGGGGGAAAGCGGGGGACCGUAAGGCCUCGCGCGAUUAGAGCGGCCGAUGUCUGAUUAGCUUGUUGGUGAGGUAAAAGCUCACCAAGGCGAUGAUCAGUAGCUGGUCUGAGAGGACGAUCAGCCACACUGGGACUGAGACACGGCCCAGACUCCUACGGGAGGCAGCAGUGGGGAAUUUUGGACAAUGGGGGCAACCCUGAUCCAGCAAUGCCGCGUGAGUGAAGAAGGCCUUCGGGUUGUAAAGCUCUUUUGUCAGGGAAGAAACAGCAGCUCUAACACAGACUGCGAAUGACGGUACCUGAAGAAUAAGCACCGGCUAACUACGUGCCAGCAGCCGCGGUAAUACGUAGGGUGCGAGCGUUAAUCGGAAUUACUGGGCGUAAAGCGUGCGCAGGCGGUUAUACAAGACAGGCGUGAAAUCCCCGGGCUUAACCUGGGAAUGGCGUCUGUGACUGUAUAGCUAGAGUGUGUCAGAGGGGGGUGGAAUUCCACGUGUAGCAGUGAAAUGCGUAAAUAUGUGGAGGAACACCAAUGGCGAAGGCAGCCCCCUGGGAUAACACUGACGCUCAUGCACGAAAGCGUGGGGAGCAAACAGGAUUAGAU